rnacentral:rRNA from 1 species
UACGUAGGGGGCAAGCGUUGUCCGGAUUUAUUGGGCGUAAAGAGCGUGUAGGCGGCCAGGUAGGUCAGCUGUGAAAACUCGAGGCUCAACCUCGAGACGCCGGUUGAAACCAUCUGGCUAGAGUCCGGAAGAGGAGAGUGGAAUUCCUGGUGUAGCGGUGAAAUGCGCAGAUAUCAGGAGGAACACCUGUGGUGUAGACAGCUUUCUGGACCAUUGCUGACGCUGAGGACGAAAGCGUGGGGAGCAAACAGG